GACGAACGCUGGCGGCGUGCCUAAUACAUGCAAGUCGAACGGAGUGGCGCACGGGUGAGUAAUAUAUAGCUAAUUUUCCCCUUGCUGGAGGACAACCGUUAGAAAUGACUGCUAAUACUCCAUAGCAAGGGAUGGGACUAUAUCGUAUCAGCUAGUCGGUGGGGUAACGGCCUACCGAGGCUAUGACGCGUAACUGGUCUGAGAGGAUGAUCAGUCACAUUGGAACGGAGGCACGAUCCAAACACAUACGAGAGGGAGCAGUAGGGAAUAGUGCGCAUGGGGGGAAACCCUGACGCAGCAACGGCGCGUGGAGGAUUGCACUUUUCGGAGCGUAAACUGCUUUUGUUAGGGAAGCGGUACCUAACGAAGAAGCACCGGCUAACUCCGUGCCAGCAGCCGCGGUAAUAC
rnacentral:rRNA from 1 species